AUUAACAUUAUCUAAUAUGAUACGUUAUCAAAGAUAAUAUCAAGAUGAUCAAUUCGAUGCUUAUUUUAAAGGUGAUAGGAGUUUGGUAAAGUGAGAGAUGGGAAGGAACGAAACUGGCAGGUUGGUGUCGUACACGCAACGAGGAAACUGCUAAGACGUUUCUUGUAUCUCUCUCUCUACUAUACAUACAAACAAGAUCUCUGAUGGUAAGACUGCCUAAGGUUGACAGCUGUCUGAGAAUUUUCACUGCGACAACGACGACGAAGACGACGAGAACGACGAUGACGACGACGACGGUGCUAUCUCCAUAGCUGGAUCAAUUUCCUGGAUCCCUUUCGUGUGAAAUAUACUAGUUGAAGAAUAGCUAGCUACCUUGGUUACCCAAUUCGAGAAUAAACGAAGAAACGAAGGAAUGAACGAACGAACGAACGAACGAACGAACGAACGAACGAAUGUUGCCAUUAGCGGUCGAGUGCAUUCGAGUUUGUGAAAAUAAGUUAGAGAAGAGUCUGGUCUGGCAACGAGGGUCACUUAUCGUCGCGGACCAUCUGCGAGUAUCGUCCACAGUCAGCGCACUGUCGGUCUGAAGUAUGUGCCGACUUCAGUGCCAUCCGAUAAGACUUUUCGUAUCAGCGUACCAGAAGAAAAAAGUCUUUUCUCCUUCAUGUGGUCAACGUUUACUUCCUCCUCCUACUCCUCCUCCUCUUUCUAUUUUAAUUUAUUCUCUAUUUCUUUCUUCUUCUUAUUUUAUUCUUUUACUAUUUAACAAAUUUCGAAUAUAUAAUAGAUACACGAUUUUUUGG